rnacentral:rRNA from 1 species
GGCCGCAGAAUUUUAACUGUGCAAAGGUAGCAUAAUCAUUAGUUUUUUAAUUGAAAGCUGGUAUGAAUGGUUGGACGAGGUACUAGCUGUUUCACAUUAAAUGUUAUAAUUUUAUUUUUUGGUUAAAAAGCCAAAAUAUUUUUAAAAGACGAGAAGACCCUAUAGAUCUUUAUAAUUCUUUUAUUACUGACUAUGAAGAAUAUUUUUGUUAGUAUUAAUUAGGUUAUUUUGUUGGGGUGACAGAGAAAUUUAUUUAACUUUCUUUAUUUUUUGUACAUUAAUUUUUGAUUUUUUUGAUCCUUUGUUAAGAUUGUAAGAUUAAGUUACCUUAGGGAUAACAGCGUAAUCUUUUUGGAGAGUUCCUAUCGAUGAGAAGGAUUGCGACCUCGAUGUUGGAUUAA